rnacentral:lncRNA from 1 species
GCUUAAAAUAGUAUUAUUACUAACGGAUAACGAUAUUGUCACUAAUUUAAUAUUUUAAUUUUUGAUUGGGUGCAGGUGAUCAUAAAUCAAAGUUACAAUGCGUAUUUAGUAUAAAAUGGGCCUAGACAAAUGCAUAACUUAGACCACAUACGCCCAACCUCGUCAUGGUCUGAUCGAACCCACCAUUCUUCAAGCACGCUUGCACUCGAGGGAUAUAUGCCAGCCAUCCUAAGGCAACACGUAAU